rfam:Xiphophorus maculatus strain JP 163 A Contig72.161, whole genome shotgun sequence.
CUGCAAUAAACAUUCAUUGCUGUCGGUGGGUUUGCACCAGAAUAACUCACUGAUCAAUGAAUGCAGACUGCGG